ACACUGGUGGCUCAGUGGUUAAAGCAUUUGACUGCUAACCAAAAGGUCAGCAGUUCGAAACUACCAGAGUG
rnacentral:tRNA from 1 species